CCGAGUUCCGGGACCCUCGGGUCCCUGCUCCCACCCUUUGUUAACUGUAAAUUUGUUGCUUCGGCGGACCGACGGUACCCCCGUCGCCGGCCACUCGUGGCUGGAGAGCGCCCGCCGGAGGCUCUUUAAAUCAUGUUCGAAACCCGCAGUCUGAGUACUUAUGAUAAAUAAGAACA
rnacentral:misc_RNA from 1 species